CAGAAAUAGUUGAAUUACACCAUAACAGGAGCAUAAAUUCAACAUUCAAUCAAUGAGGGAAGCUAGGUGAUUCAAUUAUACAACUCAAACAUAAAUACAUGGGAUUAUGUGUGCACCUAGUGUUCAAAACAAGCUGAAAAGACCAACUAAAGGCUAUCAAAUGAAGUGUUGGAGCUCAACAGUGGAAUAGCAGCAACGACAGCAACAAAAUAGAUCGAAUCAAACUUUGCACACCCAGAAAUGAUGGAUGAAAUAUCUUAGAACAACGAGAAGCAUAGGCUGCUUCAUAACUGUUUGUCUUUUGAAAGAAAAACUCUAUAAUUGCUCACAAUUUCUCAGCUGCCCUCUAUGGUUUUCUUUUCCAAUCCUUGCGUCACUUAGCCCAGAUCCAUCCUUUAACUAAUUAGUGAACACAUCUAAUGACUUAAAGAGGCAAGAUACAGAACACAUAUUUUGCAAAAUCCAUUUGUAGCUCAUGAACUCAAUUAACAAUAAGGAGGAUUUCAGAUUAGAUUUAUGUCAAGCACAUGAAACUAUCAAUUAAUGCUAACAGUGAUUCAAAUCACAAACCAUUCACGCAGGCUACUAGAUCGAUGUCUCAACUACUAAAAUUAAGAUUACAAACCAAGCAUGUCAUAAAUGACCAAUUCUUAAACUCUGCCCUUUAUAUUGACGCUUUUAGACAUGAACUUCAGUUGGUUCCACAAGUGUUUCUAAAAUUUAAUUAACCAAAACAGUUUGAACAUUAAUCAGAUCUGCAAAAAUGUGACUUCUAACACAACUGAUUUCAAAAUAUAAAAAAAAACUAUUUAAUCACUAAUUAGCAUAUCCCGAUAGGAAUCCGAUAUAUUCACAACAAGCAGAUGGAAUAUAGUGACUGAAUCAUCUUAGAUUCAAAGUGAAAUGUAACAUUAACGCUCAUUCAAUAACAAACACUUACGGAUCUCAAUUCGAGCUCAAAGCAUAUACAUUCUUAUAAUUUCAUGACAUCAAAAGUCAAAUAGAAGCAUAAUUUCAGGAAGGAAAUUACUUACCUCAACAACAGCGGACAAAAUAAAGUUGUUUGAAGCAAGAACAAAAAGCAAACUAGAUCGAAAGCCGAAUAAAUACGAGGUUCUUCAAAUUGGAGCCUAGCUUCAGCGAAAAUCGGCAACUUAGACUUUGAACAGCACUGAUAGGAAUCCAGAAAAAGUCUUUAAGCCUUAACGUUUCUAACAAUCCAUUAGAAUUCAAAUCUUCAUCAAACAUUCAUCUUCCCUUUUUAGACCCUUUAUUUUCGGAUUCGAUUUUUUUGAAAUUUGAAGAAUCUCUCUUCUCUUUUAGAUCUAUGUAUGAGUGAAAUGAGGGUGAGAUUGAACGUCUUGAGUGAGAAAAUGCGUUGUUGGAGUUGAUGGAGGAGCUGCUAGGGUUUUUUGUUUUUUUUUUUAAAUUGAGGGGUCGUCCGCCUCUGGUGUUUUCAGAACCUCAGAUGGCGGCUAGGAGGAUGAAGAUGGAGAAGGGGAAGGCUAGGGUUUUUUUGUUGGGGAAGGGAGUUAUAAUGAGAUGGGAAGGGAAAACGACGUAGUACUUGGGUGAUACUACGUCAUUUCAUGGUCUCAGAGGUUAAGAAUUUGGACCGGGUCUGGGCGAAAAUGUGGCAAAAAUAUGGCGUGAAACAAUGGCCCAAUCUGAUUUAGCUUAUCAGCCUUUUUCCUUCUUUUCCUUCUUUAUUAGCCAUUUGUAAAAUUAGCCACUUUAGACUCAAAUUUUAAUUUAAAUCUCACUUUUUGUGGCUAGUCUAUUUAUUUUACCUAAUGAUAGACUAAUUCAACUAAUUAAUUAAUUAACUAACCUAAGAAUGCACUUUGUGAUUUUAUGUAUUUAACUAAUGCAUUUAACAAUGUAAUUAAAUUCUAAAAUGCAAUUUAAAAUCUAGAAUACUAUAAAAUUAAGAUUUUAACAUUUUUUAUGAUUUUCUUGAUUUACGAUACUACUAGCAUGCAUAACAAUGCGAAUAAGUGCAAAAACAAAUAAAGGAAAACAUCUAAAAUCCAUAAAAACAAUUAAAAUUAUUUUUGGAUUAUUUUUAGGAGUAAUUUUAUAUAAGGGCAAAAAUUAGGUGCUCACAGCUGCCCCUCUUUACUCGAAAACAUGAAGAGUUUUCGAGAAAAGAUAAAGUGAGUAAUUGCGAGCAAUAUUUGCCCGUUUGGAUACUCCAUGGGAAGCGUUUUUUGAAAAGUUUAACCGAACCUUGCUUCGGAGGUUCCCUACAUAUUCUUGGCUAUAAAGGAAUCAGGUCAAUGUAGUUCUGGAAGUUUAGGUAGUUGAGACUACCAGGAAGCUGUUAUUUCACUGUUGUUGUUGCUGCUGCUGCUUACUGAGCUCCUUAUUACACCAAAGUCAAAAAUGAAAAAGACUAACUAAGCCUAUCAACUAUGAGUUAUAAGAUUCCUAUCUAUAAGACUUCUGAAGCUUGAUCUUGAGUCUUGGCUGGUCUAGAUACAGACUCUGAUCUCAAUUUUGAUGCUUGUUAGCUGCAGGUGCUAGUUCAUUCUUCUAUGGCUUCUUCGGAUCAAAACGGGAAAUGCAAUGCUCGUGACUUCAGUCAUGUCUUGAGUAGUCCACAUCUAUUCAUCUGCUUCUGCACUUUGGAUUCACUUCUUUCUUUUCUUUUCUUUUCUUUGGAUCGAGACAUCUUCUUUUGGUCAUCUCGAACCUUGUGCCUCGAGGUAUAACCUGCUCAGGCACCAAAACAAACGAACGAAAUUUUCUGCCCCAGUUUUCACUAGGAAUAUUUAGUGAGUUAUUUGUAACAAAACUCUAUACUACUUCAUUAUUGAAAGCAAUAAAAGGUUGGGAUUGGUGUUCCCUGGGAAAACAAAGACUAGGGAGUGGAGACCCUAUAUCUAAGAUAAAAUCAACUAAGGAGUAGAGACCCUAUGUAGAAAAAGCGAUUAGGGAGUGGAGACCCUAUGUCUAAAAAUAAAAUCAACUAAGGAGUGAAGACCCUAUGUUGGAAAAGAGACUAAGGAGUGGAGACCCUAUGUCUAAAAUAAAAUCAACUAGAGAGUGAAGACCCUAUGUUAGAAAAGCGACUAGGGAGUGGAGACCCUAUGUCUAAAAUAACAUCAACUAGGGAGUGCAGACCCUAUGUUNGNNNNNNNNNNNNNNNNNNNNNNNNNNNNNNNNNNNNNNNNNNNNNNNNNNNNNNNNNNNNNNNNNNNNNNNNNNNNNNNNNNNNNNNNNNNNNNNNNNNNNNNNNNNNNNNNNNNNNNNNNNNNNNNNNNNNNNNNNNNNNNNNNNNNNNNNNNNNNNNNNNNNNNNNNNNNNNNNNNNNNNNNNNNNNNNNNNNNNNNNNNNNNNNNNNNNNNNNNNNNNNNNNNNNNNNNNNNNNNNNNNNNNNNNNNNNNNNNNNNNNNNNNNNNUCAUCAACUUGGGAGUGGAGACCCUAUGUUGGAAAAGAGACUAGGGAGUGGAGACCCUAUGUCCAAAUAUCAUCAACUAGGGAGUGGAGAACCUAUGUUGGAAAAGUAGACUAGGAAUUGGAGACUCUAUGUUGGAAAAGAGACUAGGGAGUGGAGACCUUAUGUCUAAAAUAAUAUUAACUAGGGAGUGGAGACCCUAUGUUGGAAAAGAGACUAGGGAGUGGAGACCUUAUGUCUAAAAAUCAUCAACUAGGGAGUGGAGACCUUACGUUGGAAAAGAGACUAGGGAGUGGAGACUCUAUGUCUAAAAUAACAUCAACUAGGGAGUGGAGACCCUAUGCUGGAAAAGAGACUAGGGAGUGGAGACCCUAUGUCUAAAUAUCAUCAAUUAGGGGGUGGAGACCCUAUGUUGGAAAAGCAAACUAGGAAAUAGAGACCCUAUGUCUAUAAAGCAUCAACUAGGGAGUGGAGACCCUAUGUUAGAAAAUGCAGUUAGGGAUUGGAGACCCUAUACUACCAUGAUUUCGAACUUUUAUUCUUUUUUUUUUUUAGAGAAUGAGUAAAAUACGGGAAUGAAUUUGGAGAAGACUUCCCCCUUUUUUUUCAUCAUUAUAAUCAUCGUUUUCUUUUUCUUCUUUUUUUUUAUUUCAGAGAAUGAGUAACUGCGGGAAAUAAUUUUGGAGACUUCCCUUUUUGGAGUUGUUGCUGCAAAGUUGUUUCUAGCCCUUGCGCAGUUUCUUUUUGGUUGCACCUGCUUCUUGCAAGGUUGCUUUGGAUUACAUCUGUUUCCUUUUUUUUUUAAAAGAACAAUGUGUUAGUUUGAAACGGUGGUUGGUUUUGUGGCCUUGAAUGUUUCGGUCAGUUGAUCUCGGCCCUUUUAACUGCAACUGGUUAUUUCCUAAAUACCGAUUGCAUUUCUGACCCUAGAGAACCUCUAGCUUUUCCAGACUUUGCCAUGACGGUUGGUCACGUGGGACUUAACCUUUCAACUUUAUUUUGCCUUUGUGGGCAUUUGACUUUGAUUUCCUUUCUUUUCAAGAGUUUUUGAUUUCAAAACAUCGGCCAUCAUGGCCAGUCGGAGUCAACUCGAUACACCUGCCGAGGCUGGGUGCCUUCUUGAAUAUUGGCUCGUAUCACACAAGAACCCUGUAAAUCAAUAUUGCCAUCCUUUCUUUGUCUUAGUUUCAUAACAGAAUUAAACCGAAAGGGAUUCAAAUAAAAGCAAACAAUGAAAUGGACAAAUGAACUUAGAAGAGAGGUAUCCCUUACGGGGAAAGGAAAGAAGGACUUAUCUGGAGUGCAUGCGGACUUCAUUGAACAUGACAUGCCUUUUGGACUGGAUGCCUGAUCUUGUGUAAAUCGUCUGACUCUCAGAAAUUCAUCACAACUUUUGCCUUGAAACUGAGAGACCUUGCCCAGGAUUGUGUCGGUGCCAGUGAUUGUGAGGAUCCUCUUUUUGAUCAGUGGCACCCUUUGCAGGUUUUUAUCAGCUGACCUCUCUUAUUUCUCUUCUCACCGUCGCCUUAUAGUGCUCUUUGCGAGUUUUCACUAACAAGACUCUCAUUUUCAAUUUCUCUGCUUACCGUUGCCUUUCGGUGCCUGUGAGGGUUUUCACCAAUAAGACUCUCUCAUUUUAUUUCUCUCAUUUUGUUACAUUGGAUACAUAUAACUGUAUCCUCCCAUUUUGAAUCUCUUUGCCGAUUGAUCGGAAGGACUUGAACAGGAGUUUGGGGUAAAAAGCAUUUGGAUUGAAUUACAACUUUGGAACCUUUUAGGCGAGACCAUCGCCGAAACAUUAUAAGAUCUGCCCUAGUUUCACUUUUUGGGGAAUUUGAAUUUUUAUUUUGGUGUGACUGAACCCCAGAGAGAGGCUGCCUACGUAUCCUUUCGGAAUCAAGUUGAACGUAAUUCAAGGAACUUUUGUUUUCUCUUUCUUUUUCCUUUCCUUUUUUUUCAUUUUUCAUUUCAUUUUCUUUGUCUUUUCUUCAUCCUUUUUUUGUAUUUUUCUUUUUCUUCUCUUUUCAUUUUUUUUUUCAUUUUUCAUUCAUUUUGUUUUUCAAUAAUGACUUCUAGGUUCCAAUGAGGGUAAUCAAAGAAUAGGAGCCGGCUCAAAAGGGUUUGCAAAGGGUUAAAUAUUUGGAUAGUGAGAAAGAAAGCUUUCUUCAUCACAACCGGAGAACAUUAAUGCGAUAUAGAGGAUCCAACAUAGUACCUUUUGACUGCACCUGCGUUGACAAUUGUUUUAGGGACAUUUUCUUCGAUGUGUCCCAAGUACAACGCUCUCUUUUGGCAGUACUCUUGUGCAAUGUAUGAACCUUUCCAACCUGAAGCCAAUUUUCUUUUAGUUGUUCCAAUUCUUUGUUUUAUUUUCUUAAACAUAUCUUCAUUGCAUUCUGAUUCUUGAUUCAUUAUUUCAAAGUCUGACAGCAUUUUAGGAUCUGGGCAUGAAGUCCGCAAGCAUGUCAUGUUAUUGAAAUCUGCAUUUACCAUAACUGAAAAAAGAAUAAGAGAAGUGACAAUUAAGAAAGAGACAUUCCUGAACAAUAAAAUAUUAAUUUCAUUUGAUUUUUGUUCUUUUUUUCGAUUGAUUUUUUAAAAAAAAAAUUAAAGAUAGAAGGGUUUACACCGAAAAGUAAGACAAUAAAGUAAAACAUCCGGAUCACAUCCUGAGAUAAUCAUGACGCAGAAAGAAUAGCAAGACUGGCUACCAAGACUCCCAUCUGAUGGGGAACUUCCAGGCUUGGCGACCGUUUUUUGGCUUUUCCUCUGUCUCGGCAAGGGCUGUAAGGGACUUCAGUGCCGUAUCAAAUUCCUCAUCUCUCCAAUUUCUGUUCAUCAAACCCUCCAAACCACUCUGAACGGCCCGUGAUGUGGCCAUAAAGGUAGCAUGACUCAAAAUUCGGCCCGUUUUUAACCCAUUUUCUACCAACUCCCCAAUUUUGAUAACCUCGGCAAAUGGCCUACCCAUAGCGGACAUCAUGUUUUGGAAGCUGUCCGCCUCUUGGGCAUGUAGAAAUACUACAACCAUUUCGGCUUCGUCCAUCGGAGGCUAUACCCUGGCAGCUUGCUCACACCAUUUGAUGUCAUAUUCGCGGAAGCUUUCCGCGAUUUUCUUUUUCAAAAUGGACAAAGAGUUCCUGUCGGGGAGCGAUGUCUACAUUAUAUUGGAAUUGGCGGACAAAAUCUCGAGCCAUAUCGUCCCACACAUUCCAAUAGGUAAUAUCUUGAUCCAUAUACCACUAAAAAGCGAUUCCAAUGAGGCUUUCUCCAAAAUAGGCCAUUAGCAGCUCCUGUUUUCCACCAGCAUCCGGUUACAAUAUCAUUUCAGAUGAGCGACUGGGUCUCCGUGCCCGUCUUACUUUUCAAAUUUUAGCGUUUUGAAACCAGUCGGCAAGUGAACAUGGGGAAACAUAUACAGGUCGGAGUAAGAGACACUCUUUUGGCCACUCAGACAUUGCAUGUUUUUCGGUCUCUCUUCCAGGCUCUUAAUCUUCCGAGUCAUUUCCUCUUGCUCGGGAUUCUUGACAACCUUUUCUUGCCUCGACGAGAAGUCACAUUGCGUAAGUUGAGUAAAUGAGUAUGGGGUCACAUAUGUUAUUUCUGGUUGAAAUUGUAGACCUUGAAAGGUGAACAUUGGAGGCUCAACAUACGGCCGUGGUAAAGUUAGUUGUGUUGUGGUGUAGACUGGUACUGCGGAGAACAUUAUUGGCGGUGCCUUUGAAGCCGACGCCUGGGGGCGAACCACAGAAGGCAUUCCGGGAUCGUUAAAUGACAUUUGAGGGAACCCGCAUGGGAUGAACAGGUUGGGCACCGAGGCGUUGGUAGCCUUACCUGACCUGGGAUCAACUAAGGGAACCCAGGGAUUGCACUUGGCGGUUCCCUACCAUUAGAACAGGCGUCCCACAUUUCCAAUAUGCGGAGACGCAAUAUCCUAUUCUCUUCAGCAACUGCUGAUUCUGAUUGUGGAAUAGCCGGUGCUGGGCUAUCCUCAGGAUUGAUAAUUGGUAGAUGACUUUCGGAGGCUAUAGGAACACUGCCUUUAGAUCUGCUGAAGUAAGGAUGGGAAGCCAGAUUACCACAAAACCAACCACCUAAAACAGGACCUCUCUUAUUUGCACACACAACAAACUGGUUAGCAUGAGACAUUUAACAAAUAGGGAAUCACAUAUUGGGGAUGCAAUGCACCUGAACAGUUAAACAUUUCUAAAUAUUUUUGCAACAGAUGUGUGUUUCAUCUCGGCUUUGCUAUCUCUUUUCUCAAAUUUCAAACCCUGAUUUCUUUUCCCUUCUCUUUGCUGUUUUUCGCUCUUUUAUUUCUUCACUCUUUUCUUUCUUUUUCACUCAAUUUUUUCCUUUUUCUUUCUCUCUUUUUUCACUCGUUUUCAAUUUAUUUUUCACUCAGAUUGUCUAUAGCCAUGAUCGAAUCCGAUGGGGAUUGCCUGCGUAUCAUGACGCCGAAUGAAUCAGAUCAUUACAUAGUUCAGGAAAUAAAUGCAGAAUAAAAGAAUUUUUUUUGGGGGGGUUUUCAAUAUUUCAUUAAAUAUAAUCUUUUUGGAUUUUUCUAUUACAAAGACUUUGGAAAUAUUAGCGAUUAAACAUUCAGACUCAAAACAGAAAAACAAACAAACUUUGAAAAGAUAAACAGACUCGAAAAGUUAAAAUGCAGACUAAAAGCCAAAAAUAAAUUUUAAAAAAAUCAGGAAUACAUAAGAGCCUCCAAUACUACUCCGGGGGCCUGCGGGACAUCAGUCGGUCUCGAUACGGGCCUGCAUGCAAUCUCUUUUUGAAGGUACUCUAAAUCAGCCAUCACCUGAUGGACAAAGGUCAUCACAGAAGCAAAGAACAUGGACAUGGUCAUAUCUUUGCAUUCAUGGCACUUUAUUGCGACAUAAUCAGUGAUUUCUUUAAUCCUUAUUCUAAUGACACCCUUUUCUUGGAGCAGGCGUCUAAUUUGCGGAGAUCGGGCCUCCAACACUUACGUGGCCGUGUGGUUUUGGUCUUGCAAUUGUUGCAUGUCUUCUUCCAAUCGGGAAAUCAAUAUAUAGCAAUGCUCUCUUUCCUCUUUGAAAUCCUUUAUUUUCUGGACCAUUUCAUUUUCAAGAGUGGUCAGCUUUUUCUUUAAGAUCGUGACUCCUCUGUCAUACUUUUGCUUUAACUGUUGAACAAACCUUGUUCGUUCUUCUGGAUUUUUUGCCAAUUUUGCCCGAGCUUUUGCCAAUUCAUCCUCUGCCUUUGUCAGAUUAAACCCAUAAUCAUGCACUUUUCACCUCAGAUUGCUUAUGAGUCUUUUAUCUUUUUCGCUUCUUACCGGGUUUUCAGCGGCUAUUUUCAUUUUCUGAAUCUGAGCUCGGAGGGCUUCGUUUUUCUGAGCCAACUUUUUCUUUUCCCCUUCAUCCACAGCGGCCUACAAACUACUAUCAAAUUUGAUGUUUCUAAUUUGAUCUUCUAGUUUACUUAUGGUAGUCCGGUAGUCAUUCUCUUUGGCUAACCAAGCCCGUUGUUCCUGCGAUGCGUCGACAAAUUCUUGGAUAUGAGGCAUUUUAGUCGCCCUUUCAUAUUCAUCAUUCGUCGCGACUCUCUUUCCAUACCAAGCAAGAUAACCAGGUAAAAUCUCGCCCCGGACAAAUCGCGUACUCGGGUGUUUGCCCCCAAAUACUGGCAUUCGUUCCAAAUAUGGCGAACCACUUCUUCAGGAAAUUAAGCCUCGGAGCGGAUUUCAACCACAUGAGUACUAAGAUCUUCAUCUCUAGGAACUGUUUGGCAUCUUCCAAGUUGUCUCAACACCCGGUACAGAGCAUAGGGUUGGAUGCUUCGGAGACCUAUUAGAAGGAAGUAGGGACCGGUGGCAGGCAUGUAAACAAUCUCAUCAACGGGAAGCCAACCCAAUGUCCACUCUAUCUGAUCCACGGUUAUAGAACGAAUGCGGAAUAUCCAAUCUUUGACCCCUUCCGGCAUUACGAACCUUGUUACUAGUGUAAACAAACUCUUCGAUGCAGUUUUUUCCCGUAGACCCGUAGUUCAUGUAUCGGGGACGGCGACAAAGGUGCUCGAUCAUCCACAUUUGCAAUAACCUUCAAAAAACCCGACUACGGCCUUACAAGAUGUGAGAGCUCGGAAUAUAUCUGAUACGAUCAUGGGCGUGAAGGUACUUUUGGCUUGGGUAGUCAAAACAUGGACAACUCUGGCUACACACAAAUCAAUGCGCCCGUACUCCCUCAGGAAUACUAAAAGGCCUAAAAAUGCCACCAUGAAGGCAAAGCAUCUAUGCGUUUCCCACUUUGACCGGUUUCCCUUACUGCAGAGUCCAUUUUCUGGGUCUUCAAAUCCCUUUAAGUGCCCGUAUCGCUGGUAUAGAAAGUGAAAAGUGGAAACUCCACAUACUACACUUUCAGUCUUGAUCUUCCUGUUUAUUUUCAGUAGGUCUAGAAACUUGUGGGGAGUAACGGUCCUUGGAGAUAUCAGAUACUUGUGCCUUAAUCCCUCCGUAAUCCCGACAUAACCCGUAAUUUCUUCCAAGGUAGGUGUAAGCUCAAAAUCUGAGUAAUGCAAAACAUUGUGAGCGGGAUCCCAGAACGACACCAGUGCCUCUAUCAAAUCCCUUCUAGGUUGAAUUUUCAAUAGUCCAGUGAGUGCCCCUAGGUAUCGGUUGACCUUGUCUUGCCCUUGUUUUCCCAAGUUUUCCCACUACAUGUGGAGUGCUAGUGGAAUCUGAUCCAUAACCUUCACCGGUAAAUUCUGAAUAGUGCUCAUUUUGCACAUUUUUAAAUUAGGGUGACUGGGUUAAAACAUGUGAGUUUUGUUUGAAAACUGAUCAGAAAAGAUUAUUUUUGCAAAAUUAUAUUUAAAACAAAUCACAGCUACUUUUGCAGAUACGGCCCUUCAGCACUUCAGAAGGAAAGAUUUUAGGGUUGUGUUUGCUAAGAGGAUAAAAAAAACUAGAAAAAGGACCAUAGGCGACUAUUCUUACAAAAAAGACCUUCCGGCGUCCGGUCGGGACACUUUUGGCUAUUUGGACAAAAACGACAUCACCUAACUUAUUUAUGACAAAAUGACAGCAUUUCAUAUUUUUGGUUCUUUUUUGCAAAAAGCGGGGCUGGACCCGAUGAAGGUUGCCUACGUAUCCCACAUCCGGUAAGAAUCAAACCCGCGUAGUUCGGUAAGUUUUGACGCAACAGGAAUAUAUGACUUAUUUUGAAAUAACUUUUUCUUUUCUUGUUCUUUUUUUUCUUUUUUUUGUUUCAAAAUUUCGGCAGAGUUUCGAGAUAUUUUGAAUACCGAAAUUUUCAGAAACUGAUGACUUUCUCUCUCUUACCUCAAUCUUGGUUUUUUUUUUGAUUUUUCCUCCCUAUUAUAAAAGCCAGUCAACAUGCAAGUCGAAGUACAUAAAUGCACAAGUAGCACGUAAAAUGCAUCAGGAUGGCUUUUAUAUUUCGGGUACACUUGUCCUAUACGGACCCAACCCCUGUGUUAAGUCCCCAAAGUCAAAUACACAUGAUACAAACAAGCGUUCCUACUAGGGAUUCGACUUGAGGCUAUGUAAUUCUAGUUUUAAAAUCUGGUGUAUUGUUUUAGACCUGACUUACCCGAGCGGACAACUCGAGCCAGGUGGGGAGGCAGCGUACCGGUAACCAAAAGAUCAUCCGGCGUUACAACUUGUCCAAUCCUCGUUCUAAAUUAGGGAUAUUUUAAAUCCCAAAUCGAGGAAAUUGACUCUUAUUUAUGAUCUACAAACAUAGAAGACCGGGUAAGGAAUUCUGUUAACUCGGGAGAAGGUAUGAGGCACUCCCGAGUUUCGUGAUUUUAGCACGGUCACUCAACUGUUAAUAAUUGGCCUAAUUAUCUUAUUUAAUACAUAUUUGAAACUUAUUUUGCACUUUUACCUUUUUAACCACUUUAAUAGAGUUUUAAUUGCUUUUAGGAUUUAUGGAGUUUAUUUAAAUAAGUCACGAUCUCGCGCACUUAUUAUUUUUGUACACAUUGUGAAUCGCAUCACAUGAAACGCACCCGUAAUUUGCAACAUAUUUAUUUUAUUAUUAUUAUUUGAAUUUGUGGUCGAGUCACGUGAAACGCACACUCGAAUUGGGGAUUACGUAUCAUGACUAUGCUACGGGAACCGUACACAUAGUCACGAUGAUUAUUAUUAAUCGCGCCUAAAGCAAGCUACAAUGUUCAUGAGUUAUUUUCUUAAACUACUUUGAGAUUUGUUGUACUUUUAAACCAUUUAUAGCCCAACUAGCAAAAUACUACCAGAAAUAGUUGAACUACACUAUAAUAGGAGCAUAAAUUCAACAUUCAAUCAAUAAGGGAAGCUAGGUGAUUCAAUUAUACAACUCAAACAUAAGUACAUGGGAUUAUGUGUGCAUCUAGUGUUCAAAACAAGCUGAAAAGAUCAACUAAAGGCUAUCAAAUGAAGUGUUGGAGCUCAACAGUGGAAUAACAGCAACGACAGCAACAAAAUAGAUUGAAUCAAACUUUGCACACCCAGAAAUGAUGGAUGAAAUAUCUUAGAACAACGAGAAACAGAGGCUGCUUCAUAACUGUUUGUCUUUUGAAAGAAAAACUCUGUAAUUGCUAACAAUUUCUCAGCUGCCCUCUACGGUUUUCUUUUCCUAUACUUGCGUCACUUAGCCCAGAUCCAUCCUUUAACUACUUAGUGAACUCAUCUAAUGACUUAAAGAGGCAAGAUACAGAACAUAUAUUUUGCAAAAUCCAUUUGUAGCUCAUGAACUCAAUUAACAAUGAGGAGGAUUUCAGAUUAGACUUAUGUCAAGCACAUGAAACUAUCAAUUUAUGCUAACAAUGAUUCAACUCACAAACCAUUCACGCAGGCUACUAGAUCGAUGUCUCAACAAAUAAAAUUAAGAUUACAAACCAAGUAUGUCAUAAAUGACCAAUUCUUAAACUCUGCCCUUUAUAUUGACGCUUUUUGACAUGAACUUCAGUUGGUUCCACAAGUGUUCCCAGAAUUUAAUUAACCAAAACAGUUUGAACAUUAAUCAGAUCUGCAAAAAUGUGACUUCUAACACAACUGAUUUCAAAAUACAAAAAAUAACUAUUUAAUCACUAAUUAGCAUACCCCGAUAGGAAUCCGACAUAUUCACAACAAGCAGAUGGAAUAUAGUGACCGAAUCAUCUUAGAUUCAAAGUGAAAUGUAACAUUAACGCCCAUUCAAUAACAAACACUCACGGAUCUCAAUGCGAGCUCAAAGCAUAUACAUUCUUAUAAUUUUAUGACAUCAAAAGCUAAAUAGAAGCCGAAUAAAUACGAGGUGCUUCAAAUUGGAGCCCAACUUCGGUGAAAAUCAGCAACUUAGACUCUGAACAGUACUGAUAGGAACCCAGGAAAAGUCUUUAAGCCUUAACAUUUCCAAAAAUCCAUUAGAAUUCAAAUCUUCAUCAAAUAUUCAUCUUCCCUUUUUAGACCCUUUAUUUUCGGAUUCGAUUUUUUUUUGAAAUUUGAAGAAUCUCUCUUUUCUUUUAGAUCAAUGUAUGAGCGAAAUGAGAGAAAGAUUGAUCGUCUUGAGUGAGAAAAUGCGUUGUUGGAGUUGAUGGAGGAGCUUCUAUGGUUUGUUUUUUCCAAAAUGGGGGGUCGUCCGUCUCUGGUGUUUUCAGAACCUCAGACGGCGUCUAGGAGGAUGAAGAUGGAGAAGGGGAAGGCUAGGGUUUUUUUGAUGGGGAAGGGAUCCAGUCCGUUCUGCUUAGGGUUAAGGGGAAGAGGAGUUUUAAUGAGAUGGGAAGGUAAAAUGACGUAGUACUUG
rnacentral:lncRNA from 1 species